GCUGGGCAUCGUGGCACAUGCCUGUAAUUCCAGUAGCUAGGGAGGCCGAGACAGGAGGAUGGCUUAGCAAUGGUGAGGUCCUAAGUAACUCAGUGAGACCCUGUCUCUA
rnacentral:sRNA from 1 species